CCUACGGGUGGCAGCAGUCGAGAAUCAUUCACAAUGGGGGAAACCCUGAUGGUGCGACGCCGCGUGGGGGAAUGAAGGUCUUCGGAUUGUAAACUCCUGUCAUGUGGGAGCAAAUUAAAAAGAUAGUACCACAAGAGGCAGAGACGGCUAACUCUGUGCCAGCAGCCGCGGUAAUACAUAGGUGUCAAGCGUUGUUCGGAAUCACUGGGCGUAAAGCGUGCGUAGGCUGUUUCGUAAGUCGUAUGUGAACGGCGCGGGCGCAACCCGCGGACGGCACAGGAUCUUGUGGGACUAGAGGAAUGGAGAGGGAACCGGAAGUCGCGGUGUAGCGGUGAAAUGCGUAGAUA
rnacentral:rRNA from 1 species